rnacentral:lncRNA from 1 species
CAAGCCUCACAUCAGUAUGAUUAUGGAGGGCUUCUGCCAAAUGCAUGUACUCAAGCAGAACUGCUGAAGAGUGGUUGGGAAAAACGAACAUGUUCAGCCCGUAUAAAAGGAACAGCUUGUGCUGUUGAUCCUGAUCCCUCUCAGUGCUAAACUUCUUUAGGUAAUUAGAGAAGGAAUAGUUCUAGUUGAUCGUGGCAGGGGAGAUGUUGAACGGCUUUGGCAGC